GCUUACGGCCAUAUCACCUUGGGCACGCCCGAUCUCGUCUGAUCUCGGAAGCUAAGCAGGGUCGGGCCUGGUUAGUACUUGGAUGGGUGACCGCCUGGGAAUACCAGUCGCUGUAAGCA
ensembl:rRNA 5S_rRNA 5S ribosomal RNA